GACGAACCACACGAACGUUAUUCGGAAUCACUGGGCUUAAAGGGUGCGUAGGCUGCGCAGCAAGUUGGGUGUGAAAUCCCUCGGCUCAACCGAGGAACUGCGCCCAAAACUGCUGUGCUCGAGGGAGACAGAGGUGAGCGGAACUUAGGGUGGAGCGGUGAAAUGCGUUGAUAUCGGAAGGAACACCGGUGGCGAAAGCGGCGCGCUGGACCUCUUCUGACGCUGAGGCGCGAAAGCCAGGGGAGCAAACGGG
rnacentral:rRNA from 1 species